AGAUUGUGACUUUCUGAGGACCUGCUUGGUUCUGAGUUUUCUUCUCCUUUUCAAGUAGUCUGGAGAUUAUGGUUUCACAUUAGGUUUCACAAAGGCUGAAAAAUUUGCCUCAUACUUCCCUCAAAGCCAAACAGUUGCUUCAAACUUCAUCUACAAAUAGAGGAUUUGUACCUCAAUUGAUGGAAUAUUGGUAAUUCUUCUACUCCAUUUGAAGAUGAAAAAUAAAGGCCAAAAUCAUAGGCCUGGCACAGAAGCUGGAUAAUGAAGACAGCUCCGGAGGAACACAUAGAUACACACACAUAUAGACACACACAUAUAUAAAGUACACAGACAUAUUAUUUUUAAAGUUUAUUUUUUAAAGUUUUAAAGUUUCUAAAAUGAAAGCUGGCCCUGCCUCUCUCCCAGAGUGAGCGGAGACAGCGGUUGCAUGAGCAGCUUUCCUUGUGAGGCCACAGGUCCCUCUGGACACGCUGCUGCCUGACCAUGCCUCCUUUCCCUUU
rnacentral:lncRNA from 1 species